CCCACCUGUAUAUUGCUCAAAAAAGGCUGCCAAAGCUAAGAGUUGCCCCUUAAGCUUUGGCUGGUCCACUUUAUAAUGAAAACAAGAUUGAAAACCUAAACAAAUUGACCCUGUUUAUGAGGAAAACCGGGCCGAAAACCGUACAAGUAACAAGGUUACAGAAGAUGAGAAAAAAUUGACGCACAUCAAAGAUUAACAAGAGAAGGAAAAGGAAUGCCUAGGACAAGUCAUGACCUAGCUAGCAGACCGAAGGACCAACACCACGGGAGGCACAAGUAGAUUAGGGGUACCGUCGAGGGACCACAAUGCCUAGACUAAGCAAGCAACCUAAGGCACCUCUCCGGCGUGCAUACCGAACCCCUUGACACAACUCAGGAGCAUCCACAACCAACGAGUGACAACACGAACCUUGACUGGGAGCUCCUCCACAGGAAUUCGGGACGAUUAGCAAGUUGGGGAGGCUUCUUGCGUCAUCGAAGAGCAAAGAUGAACCGGAAGAACACCAAGAGCACAAAGCUCACCGCAACACAUCGUCCACCAAUGGAGGGACUUGAACUUGCACAGCAACAUGGCCAUCACCGGGGAACGCCACCAAAGACGAACACAUAGGGAGCAAGGCAGCAGCAACACCACCGUCGACCCCAACCGGCCGCACCACCACCAACAACAUUCUGGCAGCAAGCAACGCCCAACAACAACCAAGCUGACCCCAAAAUAGUAUAUUACUGCAGCAAUAUAUCGUCUGUCAAUUGAUGUUGACGGUCCUAUGUUCAGAGUUAUCAGCACAUUCCUUUAGAGCACCCGUACCUAUAUUUUUGUGAUUUCCCGGUGGACAUAUUGCUGCAGUAUCUGUUCUAGUUUUCAGAGAAAUCAGCACGUUCCAUCAGAGAAACCCUGCCUUUGUUUUCUAUGGUGCUUCAGAUCAAAAUACUGCUACCGUAUCUGUUCAAAGUCGUGGUUCAUUGUCUUGCUGCUCUUGCAGGCGUAUGUGCUCGGAGCAUUCAACACUGAGAUGUGGCUCGGAUGCCUUGCCGGAUGACCAGUCACCAGAUGUGUCAUCUUAGGUUUAGCUCCUGCAAGUACUGGUCUCUGCUUCCAGUCCGAAGGGCUGCUAACAAAGAAGCUGGAUAUCCACGAACCUCUUUCAACGAUAGCAGCAAUGACGAGGUUAUGCCGUUGCAUCAUCGCUCUAUCCAUGUCCCAAGUAAUUUUCUUGCCAUUGUUGUUGUUGUGUAACUGGAUAAGACCUGCCUCCUGCUACUAUCUAUGCAUAAUCUUCUGUUCUCAUUUCCUACAUUGUUUUUCCUCGUAUGUUAAGGCGGGCCUUGCUAUUUGUCAGUGUGAUACUUGAUGGUUUCAGCGGGCCUUGCUAUUUGUCGAUACUUGAUGGCUUCAGCAUCAUGUUAUACAAUAGAGGCUGCUGAUUUGAUAGAAUUAUAGGAAGUGGCCGCGAAAUUAAGUAAAUGUGAUGGAGGAAUGCCUCACUCACUUGGGUGGGACUGCAUGCAGGGAGAGUGGAUCUACAGUCCACCACCUGGGCUCAAGUUCUCAUGGGAUUGAGUUUGGGUUCCUAUUUGUUAUGCCUCCCUUACAAUUUUCCAUAAAAGAAGGGAUUGCAAUGAGGAAUGAUAGUGAUAGUAGUAAUUCCAUGGUAUGUCCUAAUGUUUUCCGAGAAUAUGUUGGUCCUCAUGAAAAAACUCAAAGCACUUCUUGCUGGUUUUGUUCUUAUAAUCCAUUCUGUCGUAUUGGCUAGAAAACGUUGAUACACUCGCGCAUAUUAUAUCACUUGUUAUUCAUUAAAUUUCUGUUAUCAUUUAAGGUACACCAGCCUUGAAGAUGUCCUUCUAACUUGAUUACCCAAAAGAGAAGCAGCAUUACCUGAUUUUCCAAGAUAACAAGAAAAAGAGGAAGGUUCAUAAGCCUGAAGUUCUAUGUUAAAAUUUCUGUUUAAUCUUUGAAUGAUUUUAGCCCAUUUAAUCUUAAAUAGCCAAUGUGGCCAUUUGUUCUUUUUACAUCUGAAACCUAUCCCACUUGUUGAACUACCCGAAGUCUUGUUUACAUAUUUUAUUAGUUUCCAAUUUCUGAAGAUAUCCCUGUUGAGCAAAAUGAUGCUGUAUCCCUUGGUCAAAUUGCUUUAAGCUUCUCGAUCUAAUCAAACUGAUGUAGGGAUCUAGUGGCUCUGCAAUAGAUGAUUUUCAUGUAGGUUCCUGAUCGUUGCUCUUCCAUUUUCAUAUAAUUCCUUGUCACGAUAGCAUGUUGUCUGCUGCACUCUUUUCUACUUUGCGCGAUCAUGCUACAUGCCUACAGGGCGACCUUCAUGUUUCAGUCGGCUGCCAUGCUUGGAAGCUUACUUGGAAGCCAUGGGAUCCACACAGGGUUAAGUUUUUCUUCUGGCUCGCCUGCUUGGAUCGUUACUGGACAGCACAGUGCGUCAGUGCCUAGCUCGCAGAGAGCUGCCACACGAUCCUGCCUGCAUGUUUUGUGGCCAAACCUUGGAGACCAUGCAGCACUUUCUGGUUGACUGCCCAUUUGCCAGGGACGCUUGGCGUGGGUUCCUCUCCUGGAUCCAUGCCGCCGUCAGAGAUCCCGUCCCUGGCGAGCCACUCGUCGACUGGUGGCCACAACCUGCAUCCCAGGCUGAGAUCCCCUAAAGAGCGGCAAGGGUCUUGCGAGCACCGUGCUUGUCACGUCCUGGAUGAUCUGGAAGCACGGUACGCUUGCACUUUUGACGGCGUGCAACCGGAUGCUCGCGCCAUUCUCAGCGAAUAUAUCUUCGAUGAGGGUUGCGCAUGGGGCUGGCUGCCUGCCGGCCUGAGGGCUGGGAUGUUCAUUGAUUUCCCUGAGCAGUUUCCUUUUUUGCUUUUAGCUUUUGCUCUACCCUCUAGUGUUUAUGGAUCCUACCUUUUCGACACUGAGAGCCAAAGCUUUGGCACUUUCUUGAGAAAAAAGUAAGCAAAACUGGACACACCAAGGAAAAGCAAAACAAGCGGAUCUAGCGCCAUUAAAUACAGCAUUCAAGGCGUAGCCGCCAGACCAUGGUGGUUUAAGGUGUCACUACUGGGUACCGACACGCCUUAUGACUCCUUUUAUCACCGAUCGCCAGAUUAUGUAGGUUUUUGACUCUGAAUCGAACUGAACUGUACUACCUUAAACUCAUGGAAUGUAAAUCAUGUGGCCGUCUUUCUAGUUAUCACCAUGUAAAUGUUUUAGCACUUAGGCCAGCUAAUUCAGAGGUGAAAUAGUUUUUAGAUCCUGUGCUCACAGAGCUUGUUCAACCGUUUCAUAGUCAUGAUUGCUCAUUUUUCUCUGCUCUGGUUGCAGGUUGCUAGCAAGAUUUUGUUCGUCUGUACUCAACUUCUACUUAAUGCGCCGAGAGUUGCCGUCGUAUCUGAUUUGUACGUCAAGAUUCAGGAACAGUUCACACAGGCAUAACACGAAGAAAGCAGCGGAGUUGGCUGCAGAAUCGUCUCAGGGCUUGUGCAAACGCUCGAGACUCCCUCCAGAGCCAACUACGUGACUUGAUAAAUAUGCUUGCUACCAUGCCCAAGAGAUCAUUCAAGCUCUUACCAUGUAAAUUUUGGGGACGGAUGGUUACUCUACAGACCUAGUUGCUCAAUAGCUUCUGGUCAAACCCGUCGUAGGUUUUUGGGGUCAGCUCGGUGACUUGCCCACAUGUUACCGAUGCCAUCAUUGCUGGUCGAACCCGUUGUAGGUUUUGGGGGUCAGCUACUAAGGUCGCCCUCAUAAUGCUGAUGAACUGUCUUCACAUUUCCUUGGAUCUUAGCUGUCGUUUGACCAGGCUUUAUUUGCAUAUCAAAACCUCGUGCCGGAGUACUGUACUCUGUUGGAUGUAGGGCCAUGCAUGCACAAUAUUGUCAUGCUGAUGAACUGAUGCCAAUGGUGGUGUUGGAGGUUUAGACUUCAGAACAUGGAAUUAUCACAACACAUUUCCUGCCUUUAGUUAUUAUAUUAUCUCUGGAGUUUACUGGAAUCUUUGUACAAUGAAAUCUUUGAUAUGUUUUCCUAUUUUUUACGACCUACCCCGUCAACAUUUUGCUGUAACAAAUGGCGUCUCUUUCUGUCACUGACAUCUGAUAAUCAUGCUUUCGUCUUGUAUUCCUGCAGCAAAUAUGCCGGAUAUCAAUUUUGGCUCUCGGGUCCAAAUGAUCCUGAAACCUGGACCACUCAUUCUAGAGAUUUGCGCUUCAGGCUGUAUCCUCUUUUGUACUGUAUUCUGAGUUGUGCUCUCCUUUUGGAGCAGUAUCAUGGUCACAUCUGGUCCUUACUGAAUGAGCGCAAGUCUGUUUGUCGGUCGUUGGUCUA